rnacentral:rRNA from 1 species
UACGGGGGAGUGCAAGCGUUUAUCCGGAUUUAUUGGGUUUGAAAGGGUGCGUAGGCUGUGAGGUAAGUCAGCGGGUGAAAUGCCCCCGCUCAACGGGGUGAAGUGCCAUUGAUACUGCCUUGCUGGAAUGCGGAUGCCGUGGGAGGAAUGUGUGGUGUAGCGGUGAAAUGCAUAGAUAAUCACACAGAACACCGAUUGCGAAGGCAUCUCACGAAUCCGCGAUUGACGCUGAUGCAACGAAGCGUGGGUAGUCAAACAGGA